rnacentral:rRNA from 1 species
GAUGAACGCUGGCGGCGUGCCUAAUACAUGCAAGUCGAGCGAACAGACGAGGAGCUUGCUCCUCUGACGUUAGCGGCGGACGGGUGAGUAACACGUGGAUAACCUACCUAUAAGACUGGGAUAACUUCGGGAAACCGGAGCUAAUACCGGAUAAUAUAUUGAACCGCAUGGUUCAAUAGUGAAAGACGGUUUUGCUGUCACUUAUAGAUGGAUCCGCGCCGCAUUAGCUAGUUGGUAAGGUAACGGCUUACCAAGGCGACGAUGCGUAGCCGACCUGAGAGGGUGAUCGGCCACACUGGAACUGAGACACGGUCCAGACUCCUACGGGAGGCAGCAGUAGGGAAUCUUCCGCAAUGGGCGAAAGCCUGACGGAGCAACGCCGCGUGAGUGAUGAAGGUCUUCGGAUCGUAAAACUCUGUUAUUAGGGAAGAACAAAUGUGUAAGUAACUAUGCACGUCUUGACGGUACCUAAUCAUAAAGCCACGGCUAACUACGUG